rnacentral:rRNA from 1 species
UACGUAGGGUGCGAGCGUUAAUCGGAAUUACUGGGCGUAAAGCGUGCGCAGGCGGUUCGUUGUGUCUGAUGUGAAAGCCCCGGGCUCAACCUGGGAAUGGCAUUGGAAACUGGCGAGCUAGAGUGUGGCAGAGGGGGGUGGAAUUCCGCGUGUAGCAGUGAAAUGCGUAGAGAUGCGGAGGAACACCGGUGGCGAAGGCGGGUCUCUGGGCAGUAACUGACGCUGAGGAGCGAAAGCGUGGGGAGCGAACAGG